rnacentral:rRNA from 1 species
AUUGAACGCUGGCGGCAUGCCUUACACAUGCAAGUCGAACGGUAGAGUAGCAAUACUUGAGAGUGGCGAACGGGUGAGUAAUAUAUCGGAACGUGCCCAGUCGUGGGGGAUAACGUAGAGAAAUUUACGCUAAUACCGCAUACGAUCUAAGGAUGAAAGCGGGGGAUUCGCAAGAACCUCGCGCGAUUGGAGCGGCUGAUAUCAGAUUAGGUUGUUGGUGAGGUAAAAGCUCACCAAGCCGACGAUCUGUAGCUGGUUUGAGAGAACGACCAGCCACACUGGGACUGAGACACGGCCCAGACUCCUACGGGAGGCAGCAGUGGGGGAAGUUUUUUGGACGAAAUAGGGGCGGAAAGACCUGAUCCAGCAAUAGCCGCGUGCAGGAAGAAGGACCUCGGU